rnacentral:rRNA from 1 species
GACGAACGCUGGCGGCGUGCCUAAUACAUGCAAGUAGAACGCUGAAGAGAGGAGCUUACUCUUCUUGGAUGAGUUGCGAACGGGUAAGUAACGCGUAGGUAACCUGCCUUGUAGCGGGGGAUAACUAUUGGAAACGAUAGCUAAUACCGCAUAACAAUGGAUGACACAUGUCAUUUAUUUGAAAGGGGCAAUUGCUCCACUACAAGAUGGACCUGCGUUGUAUUAGCUAGUAGGUGAGGUAAUGGCUCACCUAGGCGACGAUACAUAGCCGACCUGAGAGGGUGAUCGUCCAACCUGUGACUGCGACACGCCCCAGACUCCUACUGGAGGCAGCAGUAGUGUAUCUUCGUCAAUGGGCGCAACCCUGACCGAGCAACGCCGCGUGGGUUAAGAAGGUUUUCGGAUCGUAAAGCUCUGUUGUAAGUCAAGAACGGGUGUGAGAGUGGAAAGUUCACACUGUGACGGUAGCCUAUCAGAAAGGCACGGCUAACUACGUG